CAUGCACACAUUCACAAAAGAGAGAUUUAAGGAAUUGGCUCAGGUGAUUAUGGAGGCUGUAAGUCCAAAAUCUUCAGAGUAGGGAGAGAGGCUAGAUACCCGUGGAAAAGUUGAUGUUGCAAUAUGAGUGCUAAGGCAGAUUGCUAAUAGAAUUUCCUUUUCCUUAAGGGAUAUUAGCCUUUUUUUCUUUCAAGGCCUUCAACUGAGUGGAUGAGGCCCAACUGCAUUGUGAGAGUAAUUUGCUUUGCUCAUCGAAUACUGAUUUAAAUGUUAAUGUUAUCUAAAUAAAUACUUCAUAAAAACAUCUAGACUGGUGUUUGACCAAAUACCUGGGUACCAUGGCCUAGCCAAAUUAACACAUAAAUCAGCCGUCACAAAUUAGAAACCUACUGGUAAAGACUUAGAAAAUUAUUUUAAAAAAUAUUUCCCCCCAUAUUAAUAUAAUCAUGUUCAACAUAAUUUUUUAGAAUAAACACAUAGCGUAGCACUUUUUAGUCACACUGUACAUUGAAAUAGAUAUAAAUAAAUAUCCACAACUCAGCCCCACCUACAGAAUUUUUACUAAAAAUUAGUAGUUAACACUGUUGAUCAAACCCAUUGUUUUUCCCAUAGAGAAGCUGCUCUCCAAGUGAAUACAGCUCAAUGCAACUCAACAAGUGUUUGCAGAGCACCUGCUGAAAGUCAAGGAGAAGCCUUACUCACUUCCAUAUCAACUGUACCAUUCACUUUCUGUCAUGCACAACCUCCCAAUAUUAAAUACCUUUUCACAUUCGAAGGCCUGGAUUCCUCAAGAUCUCCAGGUGUGCCUAAAGAAUCUUGGGGAUGUGUCUUCUGAAGCUAAAGAGACCCCUAAGCAUCCUGCAAAAUACCAGUGCACAACAAUUUGGGACAUAGCUUAAGCUUUCUGCUCGAUGCUGGCGACAAAGAGGAGAAAGACAACUUCUACUCUCAGACAACUUAGUCUGCUUUAGGAGUUACAAACACAGACAAUUUCAACACUGGAUGAAAAUGAUGGGACAAAGGUAAAAGGAGAGAGGAAUGCAUCUCAGCUGAGUUUCAGAAAAAAAAAAAGUUUUGAAGAGAUCUCAAUGUUAGGAAGCCAACAAGGCCUGCAAAAGUCACCUAGAUCAUGAAAUUGACUAUGUCAGGGGAGGCAAUUCGUCACAAUCGUGUUUGAAAAUGAGGAUAAGCAUGGAGAGCCAAUGAUUACAUUUCACAAUGUCCUUCAUGG
rnacentral:lncRNA from 1 species